UGACCUGAUACGUUUAUAUGUGACUAUAUGGUGUUUACAAUGCAAUUAAAUUUUAAUUAAUUAAAUUAAUAUGCAAAAUAUAUAUUCCUUAUAUUUGGUUCAGCAGCCUAAUAUUCAAAUCGUUCAUAAUGCAUUACCAAUCAAUCAUUACUGUUUACCGGUGAAUUUUGAUAAUCAUUUACAACAAAUUUAUAUACCUUCAGAUUUAAUUAAUUUUGGAGAUUCAUUUAAUUCCACUUUUCAAAGAAUCUUAUCUAGUUCAAAUUUUAAUAUAAAUAUGCCUAAUCAAGGUGUUACAUUUUUAAAUCAAGAUUUUAUUAAUCAAUUAAUUCCAGUAGCUAUACAUGAUUGUCAUUCACCAAUUUCUGGUUAUCCAUUACAGAGUAAUAGGAUUAGUAAUCUUUUAGAAUUCAAUGUAAAUCCAUCUAAUAAAAGAAAUUUUAAUAAAUAUGUAAAACCUCACAUUAAUACUAAAAUGCAUAUAUCUUUGGAAAAUGAUGAUUUGGAUUUUGGACCAAAUAAAAAUGAAAGAUAUUCUAAGGAAAAUUCACUUUUAUUAAUAUCUCAAAAUAAUGUAAAUAACAAUUUCUUAACAAACUUAAGCUGCAAAAUUUCUCAGGGAUAUACUUCUGCUUAUUUACCAGAAAAUAAUUUGACUAAUUCUAAAAAAUCAUAUGUUAAUAAAAAUAUUUUAUAUUCCAAAUAUUUUAAUAAAAGAAAUAAUAAUCACUCAAGAUCAAAUUCAUUGUCAAAAAUAUGUGAAUUAAUUAAUAAACAAACAUCAGAGAUAGCUAAGAAUAAAAGUAAGCCUAAAUAUUUAUAUUCUUUGGCAAAUGAGUCAUUGAAUCCAUUCAAUAGGAAGUCAAAAAAGGAUCAUGGUAACAUCCAUAAAAUGCGAAACAAUAUAAGGGAUGAAUCUGCUAAUUCACAUUCUUCCAUGCAAAUGUCAAAUAAUAUAAAAAAUAUGCAAUUCUUAGAUCAUAUGCAAGGUUGGAAACGUAUAAAACAUGAAGGCAAAAUUUUUUAUAUCAGCCCGACUAACAUAGAACUUAGUUCAAUAGACGACGUUGAAAAAUAUUUACUCACCCCAGGAACGUGUAAAUGUGGUCUACAAUGCCCCGUGAUUAUUGAUAAAAUUUUUGACUUUGUUAAUGAAUAAUAUUUUUUUUUUAAAAA